GAUGAACGCUAGCGGGAGGCUUAACACAUGCAAGUCGAGGGGUAAAUGGCAGCAAUGCUAUGAGACCGGCGAACGGGUGCGUAACGCGUAUGCAACUUACCUUAUGCAGGGGGAUAGCCCGUGGAAACGCGGAUUAAUAUCCCAUAGAUCAGUGGUAUCGCAUGGUACAGCUGGUAAAGCUCAGGUGGCAUAAGAUGGGCAUGCGUCUGAUUAGCUGGUUGGUAGGGUAACGGCCUACCAAGGCGACGAUCAGUAGGGGUUCUGAGAGGACUUAACCCCCACACUGGUACUGAGACACGGACCAGACUCCUACGGGAGGCAGCAGUGAGG
rnacentral:rRNA from 1 species